GUGAAUAACAUAUUUUUUAAUCACGCAACUUACGACGGAAUCGCGGAAACUAUGAAGUACACAUAUGGUUGGAAUAAAUUGUUCUCGCGAAAAACCGUGGCGGUUAUUUUCCUGCGACACGAGAUUGAAUGCGACAUCAGAGAGCAGAAGAUCACCUUCCAGUUUGAAGAGCAGAGAAGUGUUUUGCAAUAUUUGGACAAGCGUAUGGACGAGAUCUUCGCAAGCACAUACGAACACCGCUGUUCUGGCGAGUGCGUAGCCAAAGGGUGUGGAAGACUGUUUAUUAUGGACGGACUUUGGAAAAUCGUGUUCCGGCAUUGUAUA